AGCGCCUUAAGUUCGGUGGAGUUGGCCAUGCGGGAGAGAUGGACAAUUCAAAUAUUUUAUAGAAUUUUCUGCUAGGUAUUGCUUAUUAAAGAUUAGUUCGCUUUGUUUUGUGGCAAAACCCAAUUAAAAGAAAAAACUUUACGAAAAAUAUUGAAAAAUUGUGUCAAUCUGCCUCCUGACAGUAGAAAAGAUGGCCAUGUUUUUUCGAGGCGUGAAAAAAAACAUUAAUUCUGUGGCAAAUGAAAUUUUCUUGACAUAUAUUGCAACAAGACACUCCAACAAAGCUUUUUAAAUUUAAAUAUGACCAAAUAAAAUAAUCACUAUUGUGUAAUUAAAUCUUAAAAACGUUUAUAAACAAUCAUAACACAGGUCUAUAGGCCUGUGUAUAUAGACACUUUGUAUUUUGUAUAGAAAAUAAAUUUUUUUAAUAUAUAUCGGA